AGGAGAAGUAGUAGACCGGUGGUAGAAGGGGAGGAGGGAGGAGGUGGCUCACCGGCGGGGGGUCUUGCUCCUGCUACUGCAGUCUGUAGAUCUAACUAGAAAAUCGGAGUGAAGGAUGAAGGAAGAGAUGUCCAACAGGCCCAGACAGUCAAGCUGCUAGAUUCAGGUUGGAUGCAUGCGUACAAAGGGAAUGAAAUCGGCUGGAUGCAUGUGAGAUUGAUGGGAUUGUGCGUUGUAGAUUACGGCUGCUUUGGAAGAGGGUGUGCUUGCUUGCAUGGGGAAUAAAUAAGCAGAAGAUUCAGGUUGGAUGCAUGCAUUGCACUUUUAAUCAUGUGCACGAAACGAAUGCACUUUUGACAUUAACUAAUUUGAG
rnacentral:lncRNA from 1 species